rnacentral:lncRNA from 1 species
AUGAUUGUAAAUAAUAUUCUGAGGGUUUGAAACCCCUGAUUGCAUAUGGUAGUACUAAAUUGAGGUGACUUGCACACCGAAUAGCGAGCAUGGGUAGAGCACCGUUGUGGAUUGUGACUUGGUCUUUGCCGAUUGAUGAUUUUACCGUGUAUUUGACUAAAACUUACUUGUCAUCAUCAUGAUUUGGGCUGAUUGGCAUAUUUGGGCUUCUUGCCAACUAUUUGAAUCCUUCGGGGAUUAUCAUCACCGUUUUGACUUAUUGCUUGAGCACAGUCAUGAUGAUUUCACUAUUUUACAACUCAGCCAUGUUACUCAGUUUUGAGCCUUGAACGAUAUUUCUAAAUGUUGUUUUUGGGCUGAGAACUACUAAUUUACAAAUGCCCGAAGGGCUUGUGAUAGUUUUUAUUUGACUGAGUGAGGCCGAGGGCCUGUGUUGUGAGGAUACUAUAGGAUCUGGUUACGCGCCCCUGCAGUGUUAUACUAGCACCGAUAUGAGGCCUAUGGCCUAGAUUUGUGCCAUGAGGUGGAUUGCUAUUUGCGCUUGGGCCAUAAGGGUCCCCUCCCGGAAUCUGCACACUCCCAUUAAGCGCAGUCGAUGAAAUAUAUGGAUCGGGCUACACGCAUCAGCGAUAUAUGGAUCGGGCUGCACGCCGCAGCGGUUAUUAUAUGCUACUAAUCAAUGUGUUCACUUGCCUCAUUUGUCUUCCAUUAUCUGUUGUAUGUGUUUCUUCAUAUGGUAUCUACCCGAUUGUCUGGCAUUAUCUGUUGAGUAAGUGUUGUGACCACGGGGCAGAUUUCUAUGCUUAUCUGCACUACUUGAUUUGCAUUCAUUUUCAUAACUAUUGAAAAAUCCAUUUUCAAAUGAGUCAUAAAUUGAUGUAAGAUUUCACAGCUUCAUUGUUUUUCUCAAAAGGUUUUCCACUGCUCUGUACGGCAUGAUGGUUUGCCUUACAUGAUUUCUCACUAUCAGUUAUUAUUUACCC